AUUAGAACUUCAGACUCCAUCCUUACAGGGCAAGAGACAUUUCUGUAGCCCCAUAACCAAAUUUAUAUUUUCUGUACUUGACCAGAAACAUAACCACAUGUUCACCAGGGCCUCAGUAGAGUGUCUGACAGGGACUAAGACAAAAAUGUAAAGAAUAGGGGCCAGUAAAGAUAGCUCAGUAGCUAAAAAGUACUCCUGUUCAUGAAGAGGACCAGGGUUCAGUACCCAGCACUCAAGUGGUGAGUCACAAUCAUCUGUAAUUCCAGAUCUAGGAGAUCUGAUGCCCUCUUUGGCUUCUUCAGGAGAAUGAAGGCUAAGGAAUCUAAAGAAAACUGGACAAAUGAGACAUCUGGAAGAAAAAGCACAAAUCAUCCAGAAAAAAAUGUCUCAAGAAAAAGAGUAAACUGGCCUAUUGAGCUGAGGACCAAACCCGGGGCCUUGUGCUUGCUAGGAAAAAAAGGAAACUGUGAGCCAUACGGGGCAUAGUUUGAGCAUAGAAGAUGUCAAAGCAUACCUCCGCUGUGAUACACUCCUCCAACAAGCCACACCUACUCCAACUGAAACAUGGGUGUAACAUUUGGAAGUCCCACCAAGAUGUCUCAUUGAGGAACAGGAUUGAAAUACCUGAUAAGCAGAUUUGCAGAUUCCUCUGGAGAUAGGUAGACUUCUCACUUUCUUGGCCUGGCAGCCAUGACUGCUGUCCUGUUGCUCCUCUACCCAAGGCCCUGGAGACCACAGGAACCUUGGAGGUAAAGGAGUAUGGACUAGUCUCUGUCAUUUUGAUUAAUCUUUCUCAAAUCUCUUAUCACUUUGGCAGCUAGGCUAACUAGUUUUGUCAGCUAGGCUACAGUAGACAAUUAGCUCCUUCCUCUAGGCUACUCAUUAGUUCAUUAACCAGUUCAUUACUUAUUUAAAGAUACUUGGUCUCUUUUUAGGAAAAGGCAGACAGAUUUGUCUUGCUCUCAGGCUCCACAUUAAACAGCAAACAUGUUCCAGGUGUAACCUUUCACAAAAACAAAAAACAAAACAAACAAACAAACAAAAAACAUGCCUUACAAUGAUUGUUCUCAAUAAUAACUACUCAUGUCUCUAGUUAAUGAUUAACAUCCAUGCAAGUGCUGAGGAU